rnacentral:rRNA from 1 species
AGGGUUCGAUUCUGGCUCAGAUUGAACGCUGGCGGGAUGCUUUACACAUGCAAGUCGAACGGCUGGCACGGACUUCGGUCUGGUGGCGAGUGGCGAACGGGUGAGUAAUGUAUCGGAACGUGCCUGGUAGCGGGGAUAACUACGCGAAGGCGUAGCUAUUACCGCAUACGCCCUUCGGGGGAAAGCGGGGGACCUUCGGGCCUCGCACUAUUAGAGCGGCCGAUAUCAGUUAGCUAGUUGGUGGGGUAACGGCUCACCAAGGCGACGAUCCGUAGCUGGUUUGAGAGGACGACCAGCCACACUGGGACUAAGACCUGGCCCAGACUCCUACGGGAGGCAGCAGUGGGGAAUUUUGGACAAUGGGGAAACCUGAUCCAGCCAUCCCGCGUGUGCGAUGAAGGCCUUCGGGUUGUAAAGCACUUUUGGCAGGAAAGAAACGGCACGGGGAUAAUACCCCGUGCAACUGACGUACCUGCAGAAUAAGCACCGGCUAACUACGUGCCAGCAGCCGCGGUAAUACGUGAGGUGCAAGCGUUAAUCGGAAUUACUGGGCGUAAAGCGUGCGCGACGGUUCGGAAAGAAAGAUGUAAGAAAUCCAACUGCAUUUUUAACUACCGAGCUAGAGUGUGUCAGAGGUGGAAUUCCGUGUAGCAAGUGAAAUGCGUAGAUAUGCGGAGGAACACCGAUGUGAAAGGCAGCCUCCUGGGAUAACACUGACGCUCGUACUUUUUGAAAAGCGUGGGAGCAAGCAGGAUUAGAUACCCUGGUGAUCCGCCUAAACGAUGUCAACUGGCUAUUUGGGGCCUUCGGGCCUUGGUAGCGCAAUAACGCGUGAAGUUGACCGCCUGGGGAAGUACGGUCAUGAAUUAAACUCGGAAUUGGCGGGGACCACACCGGCAGUGGAUGAUGUGGAUUAAUUCGAUGCAACGCGAAAAACCUUACCCUUGACAUGUCUGGAAUCGAAGAGAUUUGGGGAGUGCUCGCAAGAAGAAACCGGAACACAGGUGCUGCAUGGCUGUCGUCAGCUCGUGUCGUGAGAUGUUGGGUUAAGUCCUGGCAAGCACAACCGCGUCAUUAGUUGCUACGAAAGGGCACUCUAAUGCGAGACUGCCGGUGAUAAACCGGAGGAAGGUGGGGAUGACGUCAAGUCCUCAUGGCCUGGGUAGGGCUUCACGUCAUACAAUGGUCGGGACAGAGGGUCGCCAACCCGCGAGAGCCAAUCCCGAAGCGAUCGAUCGGAUCACGUCAACUCGACUGCGUGAAGUCAGAAUCACUAGUAAUCGCAGGAUCAGCAGCAUGUCGCGGUGAAUACGUUCCCGGGUCUUGUACACACCGCCCGUCACACCACCGGGGUGGGUUUUACCAGAAGUAGUUAGCCUAACCGUAAGGAGGCGAUUACCACGGUAAGUUCAUGACUGGGGUGAAGUCGUAACAAGGUAA